GAUGUGAAAGUGGGAGGGAUAUGAAGGGCAUCUCUUAGCACAAAACCCCUCAGCUGUAUUUUCAGCUUAGAAGCAAACGAUUGGCUUUGAGAUCCUCUUCUGCCGUGUAUUAACUGAAUGAUCUUGAAUGGAGUCCGCUCAAGUUUUAAGUUGUGUCCUCGACUGAAAAAUGCAGAUGACACCCCUACUUCAAAGGUAGAGCUCUUGUGAGGACAAAGUCUGAUCAUGGCUACGGAAAACUACAAGGACAGCGAACUGAAAGGACUGU
rnacentral:lncRNA from 1 species